GGGUAGGGUAAGUCGACCCCUAAGGCGAGGCCGAAAGGCGUAGUCGAUGGGAAACAGAUUAAUAUUUCUGUACUCGAUAUAAUUGCGAUGGGGGGACGGAGCAGGCUAAACAAGCAUAGCGUUGGUAGUCUAUGUGAAAGUGAGUAGGUUGGCGACUUAGGUAAAUCCGGGUUGCUGUUAAGACUGAGACACGAGACGAGUCACUACGGUGAUGAAGUUGUUGAUGCCAUACUUCCAGGAAAAGCCUCUAAGCUUCAGAUUAUAUGGAAUCGUACCCCAAACCGACACAGGUGGUCAGGUAGAGAAUACUAAGGCGCUUGAGAGAACUCGGGUGAAGGAACUAGGCAAAAUCGUACCGUAACUUCGGGAGAAGGUACGCUCCUAUCUGUGAUGAGACUUGCUCUCUAAGCGGACGGGAGCCGCAGUGACCAGGUGGCUGGGACUGUUUAUUAAAAACACAGCACUGUGCAAAAUCGCAAGAUGACGUAUACGGUGUGACACCUGCCCGGUGCCGGAAGGUUAAUUGAUGGGGUUAUCCUUAGGGAGAAGCUCUUGAUCGAAGCCCCGGUAAACGGCGGCCGUAACUAUAACGGUCCUAAGGUAGCGAAAUUCCUUGUCGGGUAAGUUCCGACCUGCACGAAUGGUGUAACCAUGGCCACGCUGUCUCCACCCGAGACUCAGUGAAAUUGAAAUCGCAGUGAAGAUGCUGUGUACCCGCGGCUAGACGGAAAGACCCCGUGAACCUUUACUACAGCUUGGCACUGANCCCGCGGCUAGACGGAAAGACCCCGUGAACCUUUACUACAGCUUGGCACUGAACAUUGAACCUACAUGUGUAGGAUAGGUGGGAGACUUUGAAGCAGCGACGCUAGUUGUUGUGGAGUCAACCUUGAAAUACCACCCUUGUAGUUUUGAUGUUCUAACGUUGGCCCCUGAAUCGGGGUUACGGACAGUGCCUGGUGGGUAGUUUGACUGGGGCGGUCUCCUCCUAAAGAGUAACGGAGGAGCACGAAGGUUGGCUAAGUACGGUCGGACAUCGUACGGUUAGUGUAAUGGUAGAAGCCAGCUUAACUGCGAGACAGACACGUCGAGCAGGUACGAAAGUAGGUCAUAGUGAUCCGGUGGUUCUGAAUGGAAGGGCCAUCGCUCAACGGAUAAAAGGUACUCCGGGGAUAACAGGCUGAUACCGCCCAAGAGUUCAUAUCGACGGCGGUGUUUGGCACCUCGAUGUCGGCUCAUCACAUCCUGGGGCUGAAGUCGGUCCCAAGGGUAUGGCUGUUCGCCAUUUAAAGUGGUACGCGAGCUGGGUUUAGAACGUCGUGAGACAGUUCGGUCCCUAUCUGCCGUGGGCGUUUGAGAAUUGAGAGGGGUUGCUCCUAGUACGAGAGGACCGGAGUGAACGAACCGCUGGUGUUCGGGUUGUCAUGCCAAUGGCAUUGCCCGGUAGCUACGUUCGGAACUGAUAAGCGCUGAAAGCAUCUAAGCGCGAAGCAGGCCUCGAGAUGAGUUCUCACUAGACUUUUAAAGUCUCUGAAGGGCCGUUGAAGACUACAACGUUGAUAGGCAAGAUGUGGAAGUGGUGUGAGCCAUUAAGCUAACUUGUACUAAUUACCCGUGAGGCUUAACCAU
rnacentral:rRNA from 1 species